rnacentral:rRNA from 1 species
UGUCCUACGGGAGGCAGCAGUGGGGAAUAUUGGACAAUGGGGGAAACCCUGAUCCAGCGACGCCGCGUGAGUGAAGAAGUAUUUCGGUACGUAAAGCUCUAUCAGCAGGAAAGAAAAUGACGGUACCUGACUAAGAAGCCCCGGCUAACUACGUGCCAGCAGCCGCGGUAAUACGUAGGGGGCAAGCGUUAUCCGGAUUCACUGGGCGUAAAGGGAGCGCAGGCGGCAUGGCAAGUCUGAUGUGAAAACCCGGGGCCCAACCCCGGGAGUGCAUUGGAAACUGCCAGGCUGGAGUGUCGGGGGGG